rfam:Daucus carota subsp. sativus cultivar DH1 chromosome 6, whole genome shotgun sequence.
GAAAAUGAUGAUAUGUAUUGUCGCCCCAGUCUUACUGCAUCGUAUAAUGUCUCGGUGCUUUUAUGGUGAUUGACUAUUCACGUCUGAUUC